AUUGAACGCUGGCGGCAGGCUUAACACAUGCAAGUCGAGCGAGCGGCGGACGGGUGAGUAAUGUCUGGGAAACUGCCUGAUGGAGGGGGAUCACUACUGGAAACGGUAGCUAAUACCGCAUACCAUCAGAUGUGCCCAGAUGGGAUUGGCUAGUAGGUGGGGUAAUUGCUCACCUAGGCGACGAUCCCUAGCUGGUCUGAGAGGAUGACGAGCCCAACUGGAUCUGGGUCGCUGUCCAGACUCCGACGGCGGGCAGCAGGGUGGAAUAUUGCACAUUGGGCGCAAUCCUGAUGUAGCCAUGCCGCGUGUGUGAUGAUGGCCUUCGGGUUGUAAAGCACUUUCAGCGAGAAGGCGUUACUCGCAGAAGAAGCACUGACGAACUACGUGCCAGCAGCCGCGGUAAUAC
rnacentral:rRNA from 1 species